rnacentral:tRNA from 1 species
AAAAAGAUAAGCUAAAUUCAAGCUCAUAGGUUCAUAUCCUAUUUAUAGAGGCACCAAUUCUCUUCUUUUUA